rnacentral:rRNA from 1 species
AGGACGAACGCUGGCGGCGUGCUUAACACAUGCAAGUCGAGCGGAAAGGCCCUUCGGGGUACUCGAGCGGCGAACGGGUGAGUAACACGUGAGCAACCUGCCCUUAGCUUCGGGAUAGCUCCGGGAAACCGGAAUUAAUACCGAAUAUGAUUUUUGCUGACAUCAGCAGAAGUGGAAAGUUUUUCGGCUAGGGAUGGACUCGCGGCCUAUCAGCUAGUUGGUGAGGUAACGGCCCACCAAGGCGACGACGGGUAGCCGGCCUGAGAGGGCGACCGGCCACACUGGGACUGAGACACGGCCCAGACUCCUACGGGAGGCAGCAGUGGGGAAUAUUGGACAAUGGGCGCAAGCCUGAUCCAGCCAUGCCGCGUGGAUGAUGAAGGCCUUAGGGUUGUAAAGUCCUUUAACGGGAGAUAAUGACGGUACCCGUAGAAUAAGCCCGGCUAACUUCGUGCCAGCAGCCGC